AGUGAACGCUGGCGGUAGGCCUAACACAUGCAAGUCGAACGACAGCGCAGUAAGAGCUUGCUCUUACGGGUGGCGAGUGGCGGACGGGUGAGGAAUACAUCGGAAUCUACUUUUUCGUGGGGGAUAACGUAGGGAAACUUACGCUAAUACCGCAUACGACCUACGGGUGAAAGCAGGGGAUCUUCGGACCUUGCGCGAUUGAAUGAGCCGAUGUCGGAUUAGCUAGUUGGCGGGGUAAAGGCCCACCAAGGCGACGAUCCGUAGCUGGUCUGAGAGGAUGAUCAGCCACACUGGAACUGAGACACGGUCCAGACUCCUACGGGAGGCAGCAGUGGGGAAUAUUGGACAAUGGGCGCAAGCCUAAUCCAGCCAUACCGCGUGGGUGAAGAAGGCCUUCGGGUUGUAAAGCCCUUUUGUUGGGAAAGAAAAGCAGCAGGUUAAUACCCCGCUGUUCUGACGGUACCCAAAGAAUAAGCACCGGCUAACUUCGUG
rnacentral:rRNA from 1 species